rnacentral:rRNA from 1 species
GACGAACGCUGGCGGCGUGCCUAAUACAUGCAAGUAGAACGCUGAAGGAGGAGCUUGCUCUUCUGGAUGAGUUGCGAACGGGUGAGUAACGCGUAGGUAACCUGCCUGGUAGCGGGGGAUAACUAUUGGAAACGAUAGCUAGUACCGCAUAAGAGUAGAUGUUGCAUGACAUUUGCUUAAAAGGUGCAAUUGCAUCACUACCAGAUGGACCUGCGUUGUAUUAGCUAGUUGGUGGGGUAACGGCUCACCAAGGCGACGAUACAUAGCCGACCUGAGAGGGUGAUCGGCCACACUGGGACUGAGACACGGCCCAGACUCCUACGGGAGGCAGCAGUAGGGAAUCUUCGGCAAUGGACGGAAGUCUGACCGAGCAACGCCGCGUGAGUGAAGAAGGUUUUCGGAUCGUAAAGCUCUGUUGUAAGAGAAGAACGAGUGUGAGAGUGGAAAGUUCACACUGUGACGGUAUCUUACCAGAAAGGGACGGCUAACUACGUG